GUGAGGAAUUUUCCGCAAUGGGCGAAAGCCUGACGGAGCAAUGCCGCGUGAAGGAUGAAGGCCUAUGGGUUGUAAACUUCUUUUCUCAGAAAAGAAUUAUGACGGUAUCUGAGGAAUAAGCAUCGGCUAACUCUGUUCCAGCAGCCGCGGUAAGACAGAGGAUGCAAGCGUUAUCCGGAAUGAUUGGGCGUAAAGCGUCUGUAGGUUGUUUAAAAAGUAUUCUGUCAAAGAUUAGGGCUUAACCCUAGAUAGGCAGAAUAAACUUUUAAGCUAGAGUUUGGUAGAGGCAGAGGGAAUUCCCGGUGGAGCGGUGAAAUGCGUAGAUAUCGGGAGGAACACCAAAGGCGAAGGCACUCUGCUGGGCCAAUACUAACACUGAGAGACGAAAGCGAGGGGAGCAAAUGGGAUUAGAUACCCCGGUAGUCC
rnacentral:rRNA from 1 species